CAGAUGCAUAAUCUCCAAGAACUGAAACACUUCCAGGAAUGCGGUCACCCAUCAGCUCAUAAGGCUUUGCAGGGAAAACAUAUAGAUGAACAACAGAAGCAAUGCCCAUCUCUACACAAAUGAUGAAGUCCUGAACACUUGACUUAAAUUGCAAGCCUUGAGCUAUAGCACUUUUGAAUAAUCCAAGGGAAUAGAGAAGAGCAAUUGCCACUCCUUGCCACCAAGUCAAAAACACAAUUGACUUAAAUGUAAGGAACUUGUAUAAUGGUUUUAUGUGUGCCAGUUCAUCCUUUGUGGC
rnacentral:misc_RNA from 1 species